AGAGUUUGAUCAUGGCUCAGGAUGAACGCUAGCUACAGGCUUAGCACAUGCAAGUCGAGGGGAAACGAUAUUGGAAGCUUGCUUCCGAUAGGCGUCGACCGGCGCACGGGUGAGUAACGCGUAUCCAACCUGCCCAUCACUUGGGGAUAACCUUGCGAAAGUAAGACUAAUACCCAAUGACGUCUCUAGAAGACAUCUGAAGGAGAUUAAAGAUUUAUCGGUGAUGGAUGGGGAUGCGUCAGAUUAGCUUGUUGGCGGGGUAACGGCCCACCAAGGCUACGAUCAGUAGGGGUUCUGAGAGGAAGGUCCCCCACAUUGGAACUGAGACACGGUCCAAACUCCUACGGGAGGCAGCAGUGAGGAAUAUUGGUCAAUGGACGAGAGUCUGAACCAGCCAAGUAGCGUGCAGGAUGACGGCCCUAUGGGUUGUAAACUGCUUUUAUAAGGGAAUAAAGUGAGCCUCGUGAGGCUUUUUGCAUGUACCUUAUGAAUAAGGACCGGCUAAUUCCGUGCCAGCAGCCGCGGUAAUACGGAAGGUCCGGGCGUUAUCCGGAUUUAUUGGGUUUAAAGGGAGCGUAGGCCGGAGAUUAAGCGUGUUGUGAAAUGUAGACGCUCAACGUCUGCACUGCAGCGCGAACUGGUUUCCUUGAGUACGCACAAAGUGGGCGGAAUUCGUGGUGUAGCGGUGAAAUGCUUAGAUAUCACGAAGAACUCCGAUUGCGAAGGCAGCUCACUGGAGCGCAACUGACGCUGAAGCUCGAAAGUGCGGGUAUCGAACAGGAUUAGAUACCCUGGUAGUCCGCACGGUAAACGAUGGAUGCCCGCUGUUGGUCUGAAUAGGUCAGCGGCCAAGCGAAAGCAUUAAGCAUCCCACCUGGGGAGUACGCCGGCAACGGUGAAACUCAAAGGAAUUGACGGGGGCCCGCACAAGCGGAGGAACAUGUGGUUUAAUUCGAUGAUACGCGAGGAACCUUACCAGGUCUUGACAUCGUAUGCAUAGCUCAGAGAUGAGUGAAAUCUCUUCGGAGACAUAUAGACAGGUGGUGCAUGGUUGUCGUCAGCUCGUGUCGUGAGAUGUUGGGUUAAGUCCCGCAACGAGCGCAACCCUUACUGUUAGUUGCUACGCAAGAGCACUCUAGCAGGACUGCCGUUGACAAAACGGAGGAAGGUGGGGAUGACGUCAAAUCAUCAUGCCCCUUAUGACCUGGGCCUCACACGUACUACAAUGGCUGUCAACAGAGGGAAGCAAAGCCGCGAGGUGGAGCGAACCCCUAAAAGCAGUCUUAGUUCGGAUUGUAGGCUGCAACCCGCCUACAUGAAGUCGGAAUUGCUAGUAAUCGCAGAUCAGCAUGCUGCGGUGAAUACGUUCCCGGGCCUUGUACACACCGCCCAUCACGCCAUGGGAGUCGGUAACACCCGAAGCCUGUAGUCUAACCGCAAGGAGGACGCAGUCGAAGGUGGGAUUGAUGACUGGGGUGAAGUCGUAACAAGGUA
rnacentral:rRNA from 1 species